GCGUCUGUAAGCAUUUAUACUGUGAAACUGCGAAUGGCUCAUUAAAUCAGUUAUCGUUUAUUUGAUAGUACCUUACUACUUGGAUAACCGUGGUAAUUCUAGAGCUAAUACAUGCUAAAAACCCCGACUUCGGGAGGGGUGUAUUUAUUAGAUAAAAAACCAAUGCCCUUCGGGGCUCUUUGGUGAUUCAUGAUAACUUAACGAAUCGCAUGGCCUUGCGCCGGCGAUGGUUCAUUCAAAUUUCUGCCCUAUUAACUUUCGAUGGUAGGAUAGAGGCCUACCAUGGUAUCAAUGGGUAACGGGGAAUUAGGGUUCUAUUCCGGAGAGGGAGCCUGAGAAACGGCUACCACAUCCAAGGAAGGCAGCAGGCGCGCAAAUUACCCAAUCCCGACACGGGGAGGUAGUGACAAUAAAUACUGAUACAGGGCUCUUUUGGGUCUUGUAAUUGGAAUGAGUACAAUUUAAAUACCUUAACGAGGAACAAUUGGAGGGCAAGUCUGGUGCCAGCAGCCGCGGUAAUUCCAGCUCCAAUAGCGUAUAUUAAAGUUGUUGCAGUUAAAAAGCUCGUAGUUGAACCUUGGGCCUGGCUGGCCGGUCCGCCUCACCGCGUGUACUGGUCCGGCCGGGCCUUUCCUUCUGGGGAUCCGCAUGGCCUUCACUGGCUGUGUCGGGGAACCAGGACUUUUACUUUGAAAAAAUUAGAGUGUUCAAAGCAGGCCUUUGCUCGAAUACAUUAGCAUGGAAUAAUAGAAUAGGACGUGCGGUCCUAUUUUGUUGGUUUCUAGGACCGCCGUAAUGAUUAAUAGGGGAUAGUCGGGGGCAUCAGUAUUCAAUUGUCAGAGGUGAAAUUCUUGGAUUUAUUGAAGACUAACUACUGCGAAAGCAUUGGCCAAGGAUGUUUUCAUUAAUCAGUGAACGAAAGUUAGGGGAUCGAAGACAUCAGAAUACCGUCGUAGUCUUAACCGUAACUAUGCCGACAGGGGAUCGGGCGAAGUUAUUCUUUUGACUCGCUCGGAAC
rnacentral:rRNA from 1 species